rnacentral:lncRNA from 1 species
CAUCUGAUUCUGCUUUUUCUGUCCUAACUGGUAUGUUGCUUCGUCCUCAUCUUUGCCAUUUUCCAUUUGUAAGAAUCAAAUUAACUCUCCAACUGAACGUCCUUAUUUGACUGGAUCAAAUAUAUGCGCACUAGACAAGAAAAUCUGAUGGAUUCUGUGUGAAAUGAAGGGUCAAAUGACCUGAGGUGGACGUAACUGCGAGAUGCAAUAAACUUCUCGAAGAGAGACCAAGAAAUAGAGAGAGAAGGGGCGAGAAGAGAAAGAGGGGAAGAGCAACAACGGUGGAUUGCAGCCCGUCGAAAGGGUCGUGCUACGCCACAAAUCUCCAUUUUCGAACACUAGACAAGGUUGUUCUAGCUCUAUUCCUCACGAG